rnacentral:lncRNA from 1 species
AGGGCAACCCUGGGAGAGCUGCUGCUGCCUCUGGGCCCCUGCCCUGCCUCCACAGGGCAAGGGGCUCCAGCCGCGAGGAGCUUUAGUGCCCACAUAAUUGCCCAUCUGUCAUUUUCUUUCUUAGGCUUUCUUCCUGUUGCCGUGGCAUACUUUGCGGUACUGGUCAUAGGCGCUGCAAUUUUGGCAGUUGCAAUGAAUCAGCCCAUGGAAGCCUCUGUGAAUGCCAAGGUUGCACAUGGUGGUCCUGGGGCUGCAUAAAUGGCCUGACUCUGCCCUUAGGGCAGCAGCUGAUUACAUGCUGGCACAGAAACAGCUCCUUCUGUUCAAUGCAAGGAAGGAAAAGCAAGAUUCCUUCCUUCCAAGCACACAGAUUCAUCUUCAGACGCCUGGUGCUGGAAAGUCCAAUCCCUCCCACAGCUUUUGCUUUCAAUGAUUUGGAGUUAAGCAGUAGAUAAGCAAUAAAUGAAUAGUGCUGAAUGUGUCUGUGUUGUGG